rnacentral:ncRNA from 12 species
UUAUUUAAAUAUUUAUUUAAGUAUUUAUUUAAAUGUUUAUUUAAAUAUUUUUAAACAAAUAAUAACGUCAAACUUGUUCAUACAACAAAUGUAUAUACGGUGGCUUUUUAAAUUUUGAUUUUAAAAGUGUCAAUCCAUAUAUAUCACAGACCU